rnacentral:lncRNA from 1 species
GAGAAGACCACUAAUCCUGCUAUGAUAAGUAACUGGGCAGUUAUUCAAGUGGGGUGUUUUUAGUGCCAUGGAAACAGACAGAGUCGGUGUUUUCCAAGGGAAAGUGUUUUAAAUCCAGAGUCCUGCCUAAUCUGGAUAUAAAUAUGCUGACUGUUAUGAAUCUAGCUUCCUAAACCAAGCCCUACCUUAAUUUCCUCAUAUGUGAGGUAAAGGUCACCCACCACAGUCUGGUGUGAAUUCAUGGCAAUUAAGGUUCUUACUUAGAAGAAGUCAUUAUUUUUAUUCCCAUCUGGGCAGAAGUCAAGUUCAAAGUCAGAGUUGUAUCAGGGUUCAGCUUCUGUGAUCAGUCAGACCAUUUAUGUUUAGAAGUGAGUUUUCUAAAGUAAGUGCUAAGUAUUUUAGGCAAAGAAACCCAGCUGUGAAAAUACUGCUAACAUUUGUACAGUUGUUUUAUAUGUGGAUUUAUUUUUACUUGCACUUACUUUAGUGCGAUUCUUUGCAGAGAAGUUCCUCUUCCCCUCCUCUCCUUCCCCGUCACUGCCUCUGGCUGCCUCUCGUGGGUCAUUUGAGAAAUGACAGUCUCUCUCUAAUCCUUAUGGGUCACAAGUGUUCUGCAUCAUGGCACACCCUUGACUAAUUAGCAUUAAUAAGUGAUGCUGGGAGAAAGAACCCUGGAGAAAAAGCAGAAGGCUUGUUUUUGCCAAAUUGGAAUUGACCCAGCUAGCAAAAUUUUCCAGCGUACUUUCUUACUCUCUUGCCUCUUGUGUGUUCUUGCUGCCUAAACAUACGUUUCUGACAUGAGGUCUUGGACAGCCCAUGAAAUACACUGCCCUGCAUACCUUUUGUUCCAGGGGGCAUGGGGACUUUAUUUAUUUAAUAAACUUUUCCUAAACUGUUUACUGUGUGCAGGCCAUAAGGGAUAAUAAGACAUCAUUUCUGCCUCCUACCUUUUUAUGUUGUUUUAGCACAGAUAUGGCAAAGAUAUAUCUAACUAUAUAUUAGUUAUUGAGCACCUACUGUGUGAAAGGCAUUGGGCUAGGUACAAAUAGAAGAGCCUUGCAGAAUAAACAGGACUUCAAUAGGCAGGGAACCAAAAUAGGACAGGCCAGGUAGGCUGCGCAGUAAAAGGAAAAGCUCAAAGGCAG